rnacentral:rRNA from 1 species
GUAGGUGGCAAGCGUUGUCCGGAUUUACUGGGCGUAAAGGGCGUGCAGGCGGUUCGUUAAGUCUAGGGUGAAAGCUCCCGGCUCAACUGGGAGAGGUCCUUGGAUACUGGCGGACUUGAGGGGGGUAGAGGAGAGUGGAAUUCUCGGUGUAGUGGUGAUAUGCGUAGAUAUCGAGAGGAACACCAGUGGCGAAGGCGGCUCUCUGGGCCCUACCUGACGCUGAGACGCGAAAGCGUGGGGAGCGAACCGGAUUAGAUACCCGGGUAGUCCACGCCGUAAACUAUGGACACUAGGUGUGGGGGUAUCGACCCCCCCUCCGUGCCGAAGCUAACGCAAUAAGUGUCCCGCCUGGGAGUACGGCCGCAAGGCUA